UACGGAGGGGGCGAGCGUUGUCCGGAUUUAUUGGGCGUAAAGCGCUUGUAGGCGGCCACCCCAAGUCGGAUGUGAAAUCUCCCGGCUUAACUGGGAGGGGUCAUCCGAUACUGGCGGGCUCGAGGCAGGUAGGGGGAAGUGGAAUUCCCGGUGUAGUGGUGGAAUGCGUAGAUAUCGGGAGGAACACCAGUGGCGAAGGCGACUUCCUGGACCUGUUCUGACGCUGAGGAGCGAAAGCGUGGGGAGCGAUCCGG
rnacentral:rRNA from 1 species